CCUACGGGAGGCAGCAGUGAGGAAUAUUGGACAAUGGGCGCAAGCCUGAUCCAGCCAUGCCGCGUGCAGGAAGACGCAUCUAUGGUGUGUAAACUGCUUUUGUACGGGAAGAAACACUCCCUCGUGAGGGAGCUUGACGGUACCGUAAGAAUAAGGAUCGGCUAACUCCGUGCCAGCAGCCGCGGUAAUACGGAGGAUCCAAGCGUUAUCCGGAAUCAUUGGGUUUAAAGGGUCCGUAGGCGGUUUAAUAAGUCAGUGGUGAAAGCCCAUCGCUCAACGAUGGAACGGCCAUUGAUACUGUUAGACUUGAAUUACUAGGAAGUAACUAGAAUAUGUAGUGUAGCGGUGAAAUGCUUAGAUAUUACAUGGAAUACCAAUUGCGAAGGCAGGUUACUACUAGUGGAUUGACGCUGAUGGACGAAAGCGUGGGGAGCGAACAGGAUUAGAUACCCUGGUAGUCCACGCCGUAAACGAUGGAUACUAGCUGUUGGGCGCAAGUUCAGUGGCUAAGCGAAAGUGAUAGAUCCCACCGNGGAGGAGUCGUCGAGAAGUUAGAAUANAAGAAGUAGAGNGNGNGAGNGCGAGACGACGACGAGGGAGGAGG
rnacentral:rRNA from 1 species